rnacentral:rRNA from 1 species
GCCUACGGGAGGCAGCAGUGGGGAAUAUUGCACAAUGGGGGAAACCCUGAUGCAGCGACGCCGCGUGAGUGAGGAAGUAUUUCGGUAUGUAAAGCUCUAUCAGCAGGGAAGAAAAAAUGACGGUACCUGACUAAGAAGCACCGGCUAAAUACGUGCCAGCAGCCGCGGUAAUACGUAUGGUGCAAGCGUUAUCCGGAUUUACUGGGUGUAAAGGGAGCGCAGGCGGUACGGCAAGUCUGAUGUGAAAGCCCGGGGCUCAACCCCGGUACUGCAUUGGAAACUACCGGACUGGAGUGUCGGAGGGG